UACGAUUUAAGGUUUAAGGUUUAAGGUUUAAUGUUUUAGUGUUUUUUUAUUUAUAGUUUAGGAUUUAUUCAAGAGUUUAGAGUUUCUGCAAGGAUUUAGGGUUUAUGUUUUAGGUUUUAGGGUUUAGUAUUUUACUGACGACGUUAAAAAUAUAUAUUGUUAAAAGUAUUUUUUUGUAACUACUAUUAUUUUUUAUUAUUUUUUAUUUUUUUAUUUAAAAGAAUAAUAUAAUUUGAUAAUAUUUUGUUUCAUUUUCUAAAAGAUAUCGAAUAUAAAAUAACAAAAUCAUAUUGGUUAGUGAACAAGGUUCACUAUAGGAGGUGAACCCAAAAAUAAUUCUUGGUAAUACAAUUAAAAAAAUCGAGAUCAUGUUUAAUGGAUCAAUAUUAUAGUAACUAGAUUUUUUAACCGCACUACGCGCGGAUAAGAUAUUAUAUGUAUUUCUUAAUUCUAGAAAAAUAAUGUAUAAUAUUAUAUUACAUUAUUUAAAGAAUAUAAAAUAAGAUUACAUAACAUAAAUAUAUUUUUUAAAUUUUCUUUGUGGAAAUCAUUAUGUUAUUUGAUUGUUGUAUUUGAUUCACAUAUUUGCAUAGUUAUUUGUGAU
rnacentral:lncRNA from 1 species